AUAAACAUGAUGCCACCCUGAACAAGCCUGAUCCCGUCUGAUCUCGGAAGCUAAGCAGAGUCGGGCCUGAUUAGUACUUGGAUGGGAGACCACCUAGGAAGACCAGGUGCUGUAGGCU
rnacentral:rRNA from 1 species